UGACUUACAAUAAUGACUUUAUUUUAACAUAUUUAAUUACAGACAUAAAAUAGCUGGGGAAGGGGGUGAACCCCAGCCUAGCCCCGUCUCGGGGCCGCCAGGAGGGGGAGACGCAGGCGAGGCCUCCCUGAUGACCCUCCUUCUGGGGGGGGGUCUUCCUAUGGCGGGGCCCUAUUGCUUCAGGGGGGAGGGGCCAUGCAAACGAGGGAGGCGGGGAAGCCUCUGGGCCCCGCCCACCCCACCCGCCGCGGCCUCCCUCCGCAAUGCCCGGACGUGCCCCAACCCUGGCCUCUCCACCUCCUUUCUCUUUCUCCAGGGAGCGGACCCUCUGGCCGGCCCC
rnacentral:lncRNA from 1 species